GAUAGUAAUGAGAAAGAUGAACUCAUUGUAAUAUGAGCUUCAUUUAUGCAUUUCAUAUUACAAUUAGCUGAUCUUUUUUUUUUUUUUUUUUUUUU
rnacentral:pre_miRNA from 8 species